UGAGUAACCUGCCCUUCACUCUGGGAUAACUCCGGGAAACCGGGGCUAAUACUGGAUGUGACUCGAACAGGCAUCUGUUUCGGGUGGAAAGAUUUAUUGGUGGAGGAUGGACUCGCGGCCUAUCAGCUUGUUGGUGAGGUAAUGGCUCACCAAGGCGACGACGGGUAGCCGGCCUGAGAGGGCGAUCGGCCACACUGGGACUGAGACACGGCCCAGACUCCUGCGGGAGNA
rnacentral:rRNA from 1 species